CCUACGGGCGGCUGCAGUGGGGAAUAUUGCGCAAUGGGCGAAAGCCUGACGCAGCGACGCCGCGUGAGGGAUGAAGGUCUUCGGAUCGUAAACCUCUGUCAGCAGGGAAGAACGGUCACUGUGCUAAUCAGCAGUGAAUUGACGGUACCUGCAAGGGAAGCACCGGCUAACUCCGUGCCAGCAGCCGCGGUAAUACGGAGGGUGCGAGCGUUAAUCGGAAUUACUGGGCGUAAAGCGCUCGUAGGCGGUAUGUCAAGUCAGGGGUGAAAUCCCCCGGCUCAACGUGGGAACUGCCUUUGAUACUGGCAAACUGGAGUGUGUGUGAGGAUAGUGGAAUUCGAGGUGUAGGAGUGAAAUCCGUAGAUAUCUGGAGGAACAUCAGUGGCGAAGGCGACUAUCUGGCCCACCACUGACGCUGAGGAGCGAAAGCGUGGGUAGCAAACAGGAUUAGAUACCCGGGUAGUC
rnacentral:rRNA from 1 species